AUUGAACGCUGGCGGCAUGCCUUACACAUGCAAGUCGAACGGUAACGGGCCUUCGGGUGCCGACGAGUGGCGAACGGGUGAGUAAUGUAUCGGAACGUACCUUUCAGUGGGGGAUAACGUAGCGAAAGUUACGCUAAUACCGCAUAUUCUGUGAGCAGGAAAGCAGGGGAUCGCAAGACCUUGCGCUGAUUGAGCGGCCGAUAUCAGAUUAGCUAGUUGGGGAGGUAAAGGCUCACCAAGGCGACGAUCUGUAUCGGGUCUGAGAGGAUGAUCCGCCACACUGGAACUGAGACACGGUCCAGACUCCUACGGGAGGCAGCGGUGGGGAAUUUUGGACAAUGGGGGCAACCCUGAUCCAGCCAUGCCGCGUGAGUGAAGAAGGCCUUCGGGUUGUAAAGCUCUUUCGGCCGGGAAGAAAUCGUAUCAGCUAAUACCUGGUGCGGAUGACGGUACCGGCAUAAGAAGCACCGGCUAACUACGUGCCAGCAGCCGCGGUAACAC
rnacentral:rRNA from 1 species